rnacentral:tRNA from 1 species
CUGAAGGGAUCGGUCUUGAAAACCGACAGGCGGCGAGAGUCGCGCGGGGGUUCGAAUCCCUCUACCUCCUCCA